rnacentral:rRNA from 1 species
GUAGGGCGCAAGCGUUAUCCGGAAUUAUUGGGCGUAAAGAGCUUGUAGGCGGUUCGUCGCGUCUGGUGUGAAAGCCCAUCGCUUAACGGUGGGUCUGCGCCGGGUACGGGCGGGCUAGAGUGCAGUAGGGGAGACUGGAAUUCCCGGUGUAACGGUGGAAUGUGUAGAUAUCGGGAAGAACACCAAUGGCGAAGGCAGGUCUCUGAGCUGUUACUGACGCUGAGAAGCGAAAGCGUGGGGAGCGAACAGGAUUAGAUACCCUGGUAGUCAAGGGCGAAUUCGUU